GACUUUGUAGCUCAGCUGGUAGAGCAUUUGCAACGUUUUGGCAUGUUGUUUCUGUCGCUGGUUCGAAUCCAGCCGAAGUCC
rnacentral:tRNA from 1 species